rnacentral:rRNA from 1 species
GUAGGGAAUAUUGCGCAAUGGACGAAAGUCUGACGCAGCGACGCCGCGUGAGUGAUGAAGGCCUUAGGGUCGUAAAGCUCUGUUGAAUGGGAAGAAAAAAAUGACGGUACCAUUCGAGGAAGGACCGGCUAACUUCGUGCCAGCAGCCGCGGUAAUACGAGGGGUCCUAGCGUUGUUCGGAAUCAUUGGGCGUAAAGGGUGUGUAGGUGGCCGUGUAAGUCAGGUGUGAAAGCCCCGGGCUCAACCCGGGAAGUGCACUUGAUACUGCGUGGCUUGAGUACCGAAGAGGGUAGUGGAAUUCCAGGUGUAGUGGUGAAAUACGUAGAUAUCUGGAGGAACAGCGGUGGCGAAGGCGGCUACCUGGUCGAGUACUGACACUGAGACACGAAAGCAUGGGGAUCAAACAGGAUUAGAUACCCGUGUAGUCC